CAGCAGGGAGAGAGCUGUGAGGGCCUGGCCUCCCACUCAUGCCCGGCGGCUGUUUGGGUAGAGCUGUGGCCACCCCAUGGGCUCAAGUGCACCUGAUCUCUGACGGCAGCUGCACCAGGAGUACAGACUGUCCUGGGCGGCAGUGGGGGCUGCGCGAGGCUCCCUGCAGCUCAGCCCAGCCAGCUCCCAGCCAGAGUGUGGGCCAGAGCAGUCCUGGGCUGCAUAGACCUGGGAAAACUCAGGCUCCACGGAGAUCCCCCAGGAUGCAGUGGGUGCCUGAGGCAGGCACGAGGAAGCUGGGGAAGCGAGGGAAGGCUUCUCAGAAAAGGAGCAUUUAGGUUGAUCUUUGAAAGAACAAGAGAGAAUGAGGAGGAUCUGCCCCCUGUCCCCUCCACUCCUCCCUGGGGCCCUCGCAGGACCUGGACUGCCACAUGCUGUCUGUGGGCCUUGGUUGAACCAGGUGUGAAGUGCAGAUGACCGUGGUAAGACAGCAUCCAGAACUCAACAGAGGCCCCACCGAGGACUCCAUAAACAAAGGCCCCGUCCUGGGCAGGAAGCUGGCCCAGCACACACGCUCACACCAGGCCUGAGCCCCAGCGAGACCAGCUCUGUGUGGACGCUCCGCCCUGCGAAGCUCUGACGCCUCGCCUCUGUUCGCCCACCUUCACAAAACGGCUG